CCAAUAGCGUAUAUUAAAGUUGUUGCAGUUAAAAAGCUCGUAGUUGAAUUUCGGGGUCAGCAAGUUGGUCGUGCCACUGGUAUGUACUGGCUUUGCUGAUUCCUCCUUCUUGUAGAACCGUAAUGCCAUUAAUUUGGUGUUGCGGGGAAACAGGACUGUUACUUUGAAAAAAUUAGAGUGUUUAAAGCAGGCUAACGCUUGAAUACAUUAGCAUGGAAUAAUGAAAUAGGACGAGCGAUCCUAUUUUGUUGGUUUCUAGGAUUGACGUAAUGAUUAAUAGGGAUAGUUGGGGGCAUUAGUAUUCAAUUGUCAGAGGUGAAAUUCUUGGAUUUAUUGAAGACUAACUACUGCGAAAGCAUUUGCCAAGGAUGUUUUCAUUAAUCAAGAACGAAAGUUAGGGGAUCGAAGACGAUCAGAUACCGUCGUAGUCUUAACCAUAAACUAUGCCGACUAGGGAUCGGAUAAUGUUAAUUUUAUAAUGACUCAUUCGGCGCCUUACG
rnacentral:rRNA from 1 species